UACGGAGGGUGCGAGCGUUGUCCGGAAUCAUUGGGCGUAAAGGGCGCGUAGGUGGCCUGGUCAGUUCGUGGUGAAAGCGCGGGGCUCAACUCCGCGUCGGCCAUGAAUACUGCUGGGCUUGAGCACUGUAGAGGCAGGCGGAAUUCCGGGUGUAGCGGUGGAAUGCGUAGAGAUCCGGAAGAACACCGGUGGCGAAGGCGGCCUGCUGGGCAGUAGCUGACACUGAGGCGCGACAGCGUGGGGAGCAAACAGG
rnacentral:rRNA from 1 species